rnacentral:rRNA from 1 species
AUGUCGCUGGCGGGGGAGGCCGUUGUCAACAGAAGCCUCUACUGCUUCGAGCACAUCUCCGGCCGCCCCACCUCCUCCGGCGUCUUCGCCGGCGAUGACCCCCUCAAGUUCUACUUUCCCCUCCUUCUCUACCACAUCUGCAUCAUCUUCAUCCUCUCCCACGCCAUUUACGCCGUGUUCCGCCGUGUUGGCAUCCCGCUGGUCAUCUCCCAGAUCCUCGCCGGCACGCUGCUGGGGCCGUCGUUCCUGGGCCACUACCUCCCGCACAUCGGCGAGGUCUUCGCCACGCCCGAGGGUUGGGUGCAGAUCAACACGGUCGGCGGCUACGCCUUCACGCUCCAUAUCUUCACCAUCGGCGUCAAGACGGACCUCGGCAUGAUCGUCAAGUCCGGGAAGAAGGCCAUCGCCAUCGCCGUCCUUGGCACCGCCGCUCCGCACCUCGCCAUGUACGUCGCCGGCCUCGCGCUCAGCGAUCGCAUCCCCAAGCAAUGGACCGACACCUUCCUCCUCACCAACCUUAACUCCUGGUGGUCGCUCUCGGCCUUCAUUGUCGUCUGCUGCACGCUGGAUGACCUCCACCUCCUCUCCUCCAAGCUCGGCCGCCUCGCCAUGUCCGCCGCCCUCAUCGGAGAUUUCGCCAACACCUUCGCCAUCGCCGGCGUCACAUCCUACCUCCUCCAGGCAAGCCCCGAGGAGAAGCUGCAGCGGAUUGGCUUCGCCUCGUCGCUCUCAUUCACCAUCUUCAUCGCGCUCAUGGGGCUGGUGGCACGGCCGGUGAUCCUGCGGCUGAUCAGGGACGUGCCGGAGGGCGGCAUCCUCUCUGAGUCCCGCCUUGUCGCCGUGCUGCUCAUCUCCAUCACGUGCAGCUUCGCCGGCGAGCUCCUCGGCCUCCACGCGACGUACGGGCCGUUCAUGCUGGGGCUCAUGCUCCCCGGCGGCGCCCCGCUGGGUGUGACCCUGCGAGAGCGGCUAGACCGGCUCGUCGCCGGCGUGCUGACGCCGCUGCUCAUCGCGCAGGGAGGGAUGCGGAUGAACGUCCACAUGAUCAAGGACGCCUCCACCUGCGGCCUGCUUGAGGUGUUCUUGGUCGUCGGCAUCGUCGCCAAGUUUGUAGCGUGCAUGGUGCCGUGCUUGUACUGCCAGAUACCGGUCCGGGAAUCCGUGGCCGUCGGCCUCAUGAUGAACUUCAAGGGCAUCACGGAGGUGGUGUACGCCUCGGCGUUCAUGGAUUCCAAGGUGCUGGACGACCAGGCGUACGCGGCGUUCAUGAUCAACGUGCUGGUGGUCGGCGCCGCGACAGGGGCGGCAGUCAAGUACAUGUACCACCCGGAGGAGAAGUACGUGGCGAACCAGCUGCGCACGGUGGAGAACAAGAAGGUCAGCGAGGAGCUCCGGGUGCUGGCGUGCGUCCACUCGCAGGUGGACGUGGCGCCGGUGGUGGCGCUGCUUGAUGCGUCCAGCCCGACGCCGACUACGCCGGUCUCAGUGUACCUCCUCCACCUUAUGCCGCUCGCCGGGCUCACCAGCUCCGUGCUCCGCUCCUUCAAGCCCGGCGACCAGCACUGCGUCCCGACGGGGUCCAAAGCCACCGAGUCGGAGCGCGUCGUCAACGCCUUCCAGUUCUUCGUGGACCAGCGGCAGCGGGGCUCCUCGUCGCUGCUGCCAUACGUGUGCAUCGCGCCCUACGCCACCAUGCACAACGACGUCUGCACCGUCGCGCUCGAGAAGCGCGCCAUGCUCAUCAUCGUGCCCUUCCACAAGCGCCUCGCCAUUGACGGCUCCGUGGAGCCCACGUCGCCCAACGCCGGCGCCAUCCAGGACACCAACAUCAGCAUACUCAACUACGCGCCCUGCUCGGUCGCCAUCCUCAUCGACCGAGGCAGCCUCUCCGGUGUGGCCAGCACCGCAUCCAUCGACACCAUCGACGGAUUGUUCCCGCAUCGCGUCGCCAUGUACUUCCUCGGCGGGCCGGACGACCGGGAGGCCAUGGCGCUGGCGGCGUACAUGGCGGAGGACGCGCCGAUCGGCCUGACCGUGUUCCGGUUCUUGCUGCCGAUAGAGUGGCAGCAGCGGCUGGACCCCGAGGAGGACGAGCUGGACGAUGAGGCGACGCAGGAGUUCGUCCGGCGGUGGGUAGACGACAACCGGGUCAUGUACAGCCAGCACACGGUCGGCGGCUCCCACGAGAUGGUGGACGUCAUCCGGAACACGAGCGUGGCGUUCGACCUGCUCGUGGUCGGGCGGCGAGCGGAGAGCCUCGAGACGCCGCUGACGGCCGGCAUAUCGGACUGGAGCGAGCACCUGGAGCUCGGCGUUCUCGGGGACCUGCUCACGUCCGCCGACUUUGGUUCCCGGUUGUCCACGCUGGUGGUGCAGCAGCAGACCAAGGCGGCCGCCGGUGAGCUCUGCCCCGUUUGA